rnacentral:lncRNA from 1 species
CAUGGUUAAGCAACAGUUGUAAGAUACCAACAUGACUCUGAGAUGCAGUAUAGUGCAAUGGUGUAUCACCCUCAUUGUCCACCGUGUUCACAUUGGCACCAUGGUUAAGCAACAGUUGUAAGAUAUCAACAUGACCCUCACGUGCAGCUUCGUGCAAUGGAGUGUUGCGCAAGAGACCGCCAGGUUGAUUCAACCUGUUGAUGAUAUCCGAGUCUUUUUGCAAGAUCUCUUGUACUUUGUAAAGAUCCCCUUUUGCACAUGCAUCGUGCAGACUUGUAUCUUGUCUUGUUGACAUUCCUUGGUUCAAACCUCGCUAGAAUUUAUUAUCAUCGUAACCAGAUACCGGUAUCCGGCAAAAUAUAGGCAUCCGUCACCAUAUAGUAAAAUAGACUUUUAUCACAGCCCCAGAUAUCUGUGUUUUAAAAU